rnacentral:rRNA from 1 species
GGUGUUCUUCCCGAUAUCUACACAUUCCACCGUUACACCGGGAAUUCCAGUCUCCCCUACCGCACUCCAGCCCGCCCGUACCCGGCGCAGAUCCACCGUUAAGCGAUGGACUUUCACACCGGACGCGACGAACCGCCUACGAGCCCUUUACGCCCAAUAAUUCCGGAUAACGCUUGCACCCUACGUAUUACCGCGGCUGCUGGCACGUAGUUAGCCGGUGCUUAUUCGAAAGGUACACUCACCCGAAGGCUUGCUCCCGAUCAAAAGCGGUUUACAACCCGAAGGCCGUCAUCCCGCACGCGGCGUCGCUGCAUCAGGCUUGCGCCCAUUGUGCAAUAUUCCCCACUGCUGCCUCCCGUAGGAGUCUGGGCCGUAUCUCAGUCCCAAUGUGGCCGGUCGCCCUCUCAGGCCGGCUACCCGUCGUAGGCUCGGUGGGCCGUUACCCCGCCGACUACCUGAUAGGACGCGACCCCAUCCCAUACCGAUGAAAUCUUUCCCGACACCCCAUGCGAGGAGUCGGAGCAUCCGGCAUUACCACCCGU